UGGGGAAUAUUGGACAAUGGGCGAAAGCCUGAUCCAGCCAUGCCGCGUGUGUGAAGAAGGUCUUCGGAUUGUAAAGCACUUUAAGUUGGGAGGAAGGGCAGUAACUUAAUACGUUGCCGUCUUGACGUUACCGACAGAAUAAGCACCGGCUAACUCUGUGCCAGCAGCCGCGGUAAUACAGAGGGUGCAAGCGUUAAUCGGAAUUACUGGGCGUAAAGCGCGCGUAGGUGGUUUGUUAAGUUGGAUGUGAAAGCCCCGGGCUCAACCUGGGAACUGCAUUCAAAACUGACAAGCUAGAGUAUGGUAGAGGGUGGUGGAAUUUCCUGUGUAGCGGUGAAAUGCGUAGAUAUAGGAAGGAACACCAGUGGCGAAGGCGACCACCUGGACUGAUACUGACACUGAGGUGCGAAAGCGUGGGGAGCAAACAGGAUUAGAUACCCGGGUAGUCCCUGAGCGGGCUGGCAAGGCGCAU
rnacentral:rRNA from 1 species